rnacentral:rRNA from 1 species
CAAUAGCGUAUAUUAAAGUUGUUGCGGUUAAAAAGCUCGUAGUUGGAUUUCUGCCGAGGACGACCGGUCCGCCCUCUGGGUGAGUAUCUGGUUCGGCCUGGGCAUCUUCUUGGAGAACGUAUCUGCACUUGACUGUGUGGUGCGGUAUCCAGGACUUUUACUUUGAGGAAAUUAGAGUGUUCAAAGCAGGCAAUCGCUCUGAAUACAUUAGCAUGGAAUAACGCUAUAGGACUCUGGUCCUAUUGUGUUGGUCUUCGGGACCGGAGUAAUGAUUAAGAGGGACAGUUGGGGGCAUUAGUAUUUAAUUGUCAGAGGUGAAAUUCUUGGAUUUAUGAAAGACUAACUACUGCGAAAGCAUUUGCCAAGGAUGUUUUCAUUGAUCAAGAACGAAAGUUAGGGGAUCGAAGAUGAUUAGAUACCAU